CUUUGUUGGUUCCCUCUCGGGACAAAGAGAGAGACCAAGCAGGUAACCCAGUUUCUAAAAAGAUCCUGAACUGAUACAUCUAAAAAUUACAGAAAUUCAUUCACAUUAAUUCCCUUCAGAGCAGCUGAAGUUCCCUUGACACUCAGCAAUUCUGCUGCUAAGCAGUGCCCAGCCUUUUUCAAAGAAGUUGCAGCUCAGAUUUCCCAGCUCUUGAGACAAGGAGGAUGUAAAGAAUGCUUCUCUGAUGGCAGACAGGCUGCAACAAUGACGGUGCAAUGGAACACUAUGUGCCACCUGUGACAAGAUGGCUGAUGUUCGUAUGAUGGGUCCUGCGCUUUUCUUGGGGGGCUGAGACGCCACCCUUUGCCCCUGCUCUUCGGCACCGAGGGCCCGCUAGUGGCCCGGGAAGGUGAUAAGAGGAGGGAAGUGGGGGAGGGGUCUGGGUUUGCUCCUCGCUCUGAGUCCCAGCCCCUCUCAACUCCUGUGAGUUUCUUAUUCUCUCCCCCCUUAGGUGGGGUUACCCUUGGUCCUUAGACAUUGGGGGGAGGGAGUCUCCCAGCCCUGCCAGGGCAGGGUCUCCUUUACUUUGGUUCUCUGGUCUUCCAAAUCUCACAACACGCCUCCAAGCUCCAGUCCUCUCUCCUUCCUCCACACUAUACACAAGCAUUAAUGAAAGAAAAGAGAAGUCCCAUUUCUGGCCCAGUCAGGCCCCACACCAACCUGCCACGCAGGGAGCACUUGCAAAGCACAGUAUGUUCUCCCAUAUCCUGCCCUGUGCAGCAGCACAGCAUCACUUCCAUUGCCAACGGGCUUGCCACACCCACAAAUAAAGGCAUGAUUUAGCCCUGAAAGGAAGCUUUUUCUUCUAAAGGGCAGAGUUAAGCCUCUUUAGCCCCCACAAAGUCUCUGGUAUUCCCUGCAGGGAGGGAGAGGCAUUUGUUUCACUUGAAUAGUCAAGUUCUCUUCCUCCUAUUACUAGAACAUGUGUUUGUCUUUGCACAAAUAUGUAAGUAGAUUUCAGUUCCUUUUAAUUAGAUGUCCAAGAUACAUUUCAUACAGGCAUGUGCAAGGUAUACUAGGAUGAAUAAGGUGGUUAGGGCCUUCAGAUCUCCUCAAUCUAGCUACAUUCUUAAAGCCCUUAUUCAUUGCACACCAUUCACUUAACCCAGAGUGCUGGCCUCUUCCAGAUCACACACACAAGUCAUUAUUGGGAUAUUCAGUGGGGAAACAAAGCAUUCCUCGCAGGCUUAAAGAUUUCACCUGUUUGAGAGGGAAAGCAGCAACGUUUUAAAGCUGCAGAACUUUCAAACUGGGAGAAAUCUUCUGGGUGUGCCUAUAAUGUACAUACCUGUAUACAUUUAAAAAACAGCUACUGAUUUUGGGAUCCUCCAUUUUUGGGCAGCCAGUUUGCAGUGCCUGAAGGAUGCCCAUCAAGGAAUGGUUGUUCAAAAGACUGAGCACCCUUAAAGUGUCUCAGGUUGGGCAGUGAAAAGGCGAGGUACCCAAAUUCACAAGUCAUUUUUUAAAAUGUAGGUCCUAUUCUUAUUGCAGGGAUCAGCAGGUGGUGCUCAGUUCUUUUUCCUUAUCAAUCAAGCAAGCAAGCCUUGGAAAAUAUGUUGUAUUGUUGGUUUUCUGAUGAAGUUUCUCUGGGGGAGCCAUGGCUAGCAGCAAGAGACUUUUCUCUCUGCCUUAAACUCCCUAAACUAUGGUCAAUUCCUGAGGUGAGAGUUGCUUCCUGGGGCCUGUGUAUUGGUGUUUGGGCUGAGCUGCCUGAGAGGUAGGCUGGGGAGU